GUGGAGAGGUCUCAUUCACCUGUUGGGAGCUGGCUGGUGAAUGUGACGCUCAUAGGCCUUUCUGGAUAUCCUGUGACCCCUUUUUGUGGAUUUACGGAUCACUGUGGAUUACUUUUUUGUGUCAUUAGAUUACGGCAAAAUACAGAUCUUUUUUCUUAAUGGGUCUUAAUGUUUUAUGGUGUACUGC